rnacentral:rRNA from 1 species
UACGGAGGAGGCAAGCGUUAUCCGGAAUUAUUGGGCGUAAAGCGUCCGCAGGUGGCACCUCAGGUCUGCUGUCAAAGACCGGGGCUUAACCCCAGAAAGGCAGUGGAAACUGAAGUGCUAGAGUGCAGUAGGGGUAGAGGGAAUUCCCGGUGUAGCGGUGAAAUGCGUAGAGAUCGGGAAGAACAUCGGUGGCGAAAGCGCUCUGCUGGACUGCAACUGACACUCAGGGACGAAAGCUAGGGGAGCGAAUGGG